GCAACCUGAUCACUCUUUUGAUCUUCAAACGUCCAACACAAGGACAAAAGCGCGCUACAAAAAAAAUCCGAAAUUUUGGUCUAGCACUUCUAGUUGGCUUAAAAAUUGUCUCUGGAAAGAUGCUCGAUUCGUACCAUAUAAGUCGUAUAAGCCGAGAACCUAUCAUGGACUUUAAAUCGGUAUGAAUCAGGUAAAAAUCGUAACAGGAAAACCGAUAGCCGGCUAGUCACCGCACAAACCUUAAAACCGAGAGUAAACCUAGGUCUUGCCCUAAACCCAUCGUAUUGGUCUCAAACAUCUCAAAGACAUGAUAUUUAAACGAUACGAGAUUCCUAAAACAUGUCUCUUCGUUCAUAACUCAACGUUCCCGAAAAAUCGUAAAUAAUUUCUAC
rnacentral:lncRNA from 1 species